GAAAGAUGAUGCUGUUAAAGUGCUACACUGAAUAUAUCAGCAAAUUUGGAAAACUCAGCAGGACUGGAAAGGUCAGUUUUCAUUCCAAUUCCAAAGAAAGGGCAAUAGAGAUCAGAAGAUAAAUGAAGUGCCCAGAUCUCAUGGCUCAGUGGACCUCAAAGACCAACUCCCAAGGCUGGGCGAUGAGCUGGGACCUCCAUGGAAAGAGUGUGUUGGUCAUGAGGGUGAAGGGCGGGCAGUGCCUUGGGGAUCUGCAGGCCACCUAGUGGGGUCCUGACAGCAGGGAGGAGCACAUUGACUACGGACCACCGCCCCGCCCCCCCACUCCAAGAGCCACAUCCAAGUCCUGGCAGGUUUCCCUUUGCUGGUUUCACCCCUGUGGGGAAGGGCAGAGGUAACAGAAGAAAAGGAAAGCAGAAAGAAAAUGCAGAGGUAAUGGGCUCUGCCUCCUGCCCCAGUGCUUGCCUGGGGCUCAACCUAGGGGUGGGGAUGAGGUUCCUUCCCAGGGACCCCAACCCCUAGGUGAAACAGGAGAAGGGACCAUCCCUCUCUAAAGCAGGAGGGGGACUGGGAGGGCAGCAGCGAGGGGCUGUGAGUCAAGCGUGCUGCAGAUGGAGAGCCACGGCCCCCAGUGUCCCAAUCCCUCUCAGGUUAAAAAUGACAGAGAGGGGCUGAGCUUGCUAGCCAGCCGACAGGAGUUGGGAGCCACUCUUGGUCACCGGGUGGGCCCAGAGUGAUCACAUGGUCCUUGCCAGGACUUCAGGGAGGCUGGAGAGGCGCUGCAUGGGAAGGACUCGGUGCCCAGGCUCUGAAGCUGGACAAGCCACAGUCUCUUUUAGCCCAGGUCGGGUCCUGAGUGACCCGGGGAAGCCGCCAGGCCUCGGUCUCAGUUUCAGGAGGGCUGGAGUGGGCCUAUUUGAACCGGGACGGGAGGAGGGCCAGUCGGGCAAAAGGAGAGGGGUCUCCUAUCAGGAAGUGUCCUUGAGGGUCCCGGUAAGAGCUCAAGGAACUGCUGAGGAAGAGGCUCCAGGUAACCGGGAGGCCCCCAAGGAGGUGAGCACCGGGGCCACGCAGCGGAGGGACCACCAAGGGGGCGGUUCAGCUGGGACUGAGCUGGACGCCAGACCCGCGAGGAGAGAGGUGCACCCGGCAGUGGUGGGGACUGAACACGGAUCAAGGAAAGAGCGCAGAUCCCUAGGAAGGCGACGAGCGGGGACUGAGGAAGAGGGGGGUGGAGGGGGGGGGCGGCGGAACGACGGGCUCUGCCUCCUGCCCCGGGGCUCAACCUGGGGAUGGGGACGCGGAUCCUUCCCAGGGACCCCAUGCCCUGGGUGAAGCCGCAGCCCAGCUGGGAGGCAGUCCUGCCCGCUCUGUAGUUCUCAGAAUGACUCUCUCCAGUGCCAGGACCCUCAGGCCCUCAGCUUUUUGGCGCCUAACUGCUCUUUUCUCUAAAUAAGAAAAUUAAGCAGCUCUUGCCCUGACGGUUCCCAAAAAGAAACACAACGGCCCCUUUAAGUGAAGACGUGCAGCCGCCCUCGGAAUCAGAAAAACCGGGUCCACGCCAUACGGGGAUCGCAGGCGGACGCUGCGUGGUCGCAGAGCGCAGGUGUGGCCCGGGAAGAGAACUCGGCGCACCCGUGUCCCAGGAGCACUGGACACACUUCCACAGUACGUUCACACACUAGACCCACGCACGGGGCACACACACGGUAUGUCGACGCUCGGGACACACGUCCACAAUACGUUCACGCACGGGACCCACGCACGGCACGUCGACGCUCGGCCUCACGCACGGGUUUCGCACUCGAGGUUCGGGCCGCUGUGCCGACCCAGGAGGCAAGUUUGCAGCGAUUCUCGUUAGCUGGUUGAAGAGGCACAAGAGGAGAGGAUGGCGCGCUUUCUUUAGAAUCUUACAUGGAGUCGCAGAUACAUGAAGCAAGUACAGGACUCGCACUGUGGGCAUGCACAUGUGGUAAGCCUCCUUCACAGCAGCGUCACCCGCAGCACGGGCGCCAGCCCUUCUGUUCAGCCCAGGGUCUGAGUCAUUCACCUUCUUGAAAUCUGAACUAAAUCAAACACUGUUGAAGACGUGUGUCACAGUCAGCCCUGUAUCUGAUUCAGCUGAGUGUGGACAGCGCAGUCUUGUGAACUUACAGGUACUGAAAUCCUGAGAUUCUACCUUGUGUUCUUCCUUCUACAUAACUCCCUGAGUCGGAUGAGGACUUGGAGACCUCCAAGAGCAAGAAGCCUUCCAGUGAUUCAAGCAGCAUAGAAACCGUGAUAAUAAAUCAUUAUUAAGUGGUC